AUUGAACGCUGGCGGCAGGCCUAACACAUGCAAGUCGAGCGGAUGAGAGAAGCUUGCUUCUCGAUUCAGCGGCGGACGGGUGAGUAAUGCCUAGGAAUCUGCCUGGUAGUGGGGGACAACGUUUCGAAAGGAACGCUAAUACCGCAUACGUCCUACGGGAGAGAGCAGGGGACCUUCGGGCCUUGCGCUAUCAGAUGAGCCUAGGUCGGAUUAGCUAGUUGGUGAGGUAAUGGCUCACCAAGGCGACGAUCCGUAACUGGUCUGAGAGGAUGAUCAGUCACACUGGAACUGAGACACGGUCCAGACUCCUACGGGAGGCAGCAGUGGGGAAUAUUGGACAAUGGGCGAAAGCCUGAUCCAGCCAUGCCGCGUGUGUGAAGAAGGUCUUCGGAUUGUAAAGCACUUUAAGUUGGGAGGAAGGGUUGUAGAUUAAUACUCUGCAAUUUUGACGUUACCGACAGAAUAAGCACCGGCUAACUCUGUGCCAGCAGCCGCCGUAAGAC
rnacentral:rRNA from 1 species